CUCCGCCUCACCCUGCUAAUCCAUGCCGGCACAAGGAACAUGGAUGGCCCUCUCCUCACCCCCACGCGCUCCCUCGUGUUCUUCCCCGAGUCAGUAGGCGAGGAGACGGACGCGGAAGCCUCUCCAUGGCAUGCCGGCGUUGGAAACGGCGGCGAGCGGAGGAGUGGCGGCAGUGAGGGCCACCAUGGUUGUCUCUGCGGAGCCUCACAGCGCAAACAGUAGCAGUGCGGCCCUCACAGCCACGAGGCAAGGGGCGCCACCAUGGAUUUUCCUUGGAGCUCUGCCAUCGAGCCCCUGCCCCGUUCAGCUCGGUGCAAUCGCCGGUAUCGAGGAAGAACACGCCCAACCAUGUCCAUGACGCAGCUCUUCUUUCAGGUGUUGCAGACACCGGCAUCUACCAUGAAGCUAUUCAUUUUGGUCAUGUCAUUGUACAUGAGCAGCCCGCAAUAAGCUGGGACUGCCUCCCUUGUGUGGGGAUCAGUCAUCUUCUCCUUCACCAGAUUCAUUGGCGUCGCCACGGACAAGAUCUGCUCUUUGUCCUUCCAUGUUUUGCGCAGAUUUAUGUGAUGGAUUUUGGCAAUGAAACAUCAAUUAUGUCCUUGCCAG